CCUACGGGGGGCAGCAGUGAGGAAUAUUGGUCAAUGGCCGGAAGGCUGAACCAGCCAUGCCGCGUGAAGGUCAGUGCCCUAUGGGCGUUAAACUUCUUUUGUGCGGGAGCAAUAAUGGUCACGUGUGGCCAGACGAGAGUACCGUACGAAUAAGCAUCGGCUCACUCCGUGCCAGCAGCCGCGGUAAUACGGGGGAUGCAAGCGUUAUCCGGAUUUAUUGGGUUUAAAGGGUGCGUAGGCUGUGAGGUAAGUCAGCGGUGAAAUGCCCCCGCUCAACGGGGUGAAGUGCCAUUGAUACUGCCUGGCUGGAAUGCGGAUGCCGUGGGAGGAAUGUGUGGUGUAGCGGUGAAAUGCAUAGAUAUCACACAGAACACCGAUUGCGAAGGCAUCUCACGAAUCCGCGAUUGACGCUGAUGCACGAAAGCGUGGGUAUCAAACAGGAUUAGAUACCCUUGUAGUC
rnacentral:rRNA from 1 species